rnacentral:tRNA from 1 species
CUAUUAACUCAGUUGGUAAGAGUAUUGUGCUAAUAACGCAAAAGUCACAAGUUUAAUUGUAGCAUGGACCA